rnacentral:rRNA from 57 species
AAAACUUUUAACAACGGAUCUCUUGGUUCUGGCAUCGAUGAAGAACGCAGCGAAAUGCGAUAAGUAAUGUGAAUUGCAGAAUUCAGUGAAUCAUCGAAUCUUUGAACGCACAUUGCGCCCCCUGGUAUUCCGGGGGGCAUGCCUGUUCGAGCGUCAUUU